ACGAACGCUGGCGGCGUGCUUCACACAUGCCAGUCGCACGGAAAGGCCCUGCUUUUGUGGGGUGCUCGAGUGGCGAACGGGUGAGUAACACGUGAGUAACCUGCCCUUGACUUUGGGAUAACUUCAGGAAACUGGGGCUAAUACCGGAUAAGAGCUCCUGCUGCAUGGUGGGGGUUGGAAAGUUUCGGCGGUUGGGGAUGGACUCGCGGCUUAUCAGCUUGUUGGUGGGGUAGUGGCUUACCAAGGCUUUGACGGGUAGCCGGCCUGAGAGGGUGACCGGCCACAUUGGGACUGAGAUACGGCCCAGACUCCUACGGGAGGCAGCAGUGGGGAAUAUUGCACAAUGGGCGGAAGCCUGAUGCAGCAACGCCGCGUGCGGGAUGACGGCCUUCGGGUUGUAAACCGCUUUCGCCUGUGACGAAGCGUGAGUGACGGUAAUGGGUAAAGAAGCACCGGCUAACUACGUG
rnacentral:rRNA from 1 species